rnacentral:tRNA from 1 species
GUGUUCGGGCUAGUUCGGGGAUGGCUAAUUACUUUUAAUCAGUAGGUCCAGGGUUCGAAUCCCUGCGCGCUCACCA